CAGUCGAACGAGCGAGAGAGAGCUUGCUUUCUCGAGCGAGUGGCGAACGGGUGACUAACGCGUGAGGAACCUGCCUCAAAGAGGGGGACAACAGUUGGAAACGACUGCUAAUACCGCAUAAGCCCACGACCCGGCAUCGGGUAGAGGGAAAAGGAGCAAUCCGCUUUGAGAUGGCCUCGCGUCCGAUUAGCUAGUUGGUGAGGUAACGGCCCACCAAGGCGACGAUCGGUAGCCGGACUGAGAGGUUGAACGGCCACAUUGGGACUGAGACACGGCCCAGACUCCUACGGGAGGCAGCAGUGGGGAAUAUUGCACAAUGGAGGAAACUCUGAUGCAGCGACGCCGCGUGAAGGAUGAAGUAUUUCGGUAUGUAAACUUCUAUCAGCAGGGAAGAAAAUGACGGUACCUGACUAAGAAGCCCCGGCUAACUACGUGCCAGCAGCCGCGGUAAUACGUAGGGGGCAAGCGUUAUCCGGAUUUACUGGGUGUAAAGGGAGCGUAGACGGAUGGACAAGUCUGAUGUGAAAGGCUGGGGCUCAACCCCGGGACUGCAUUGGAAACUGCCCGUCUUGAGUGCCGGAGAGGUAAGCGGAAUUCCUAGUGUAGCGGUGAAAUGCGUAGAUAUUAGGAGGAACACCAGUGGCGAAGGCGGCUUACUGGACGGUAACUGACGUUGAGGCUCGAAAGCGUGGGGGGCAAACAGGAUUAGAUACCCUGGUAGUCCACGCGGUAAACGAUGAAUGC
rnacentral:rRNA from 1 species